UAGGGAAUCUUCCGCAAUGGACGCAAGUCUGACGGAGCAACGCCGCGUGAGUGAAGAAGGAUUUCGGUUCGUAAAACUCUGUUGUUAGAGAAGAACAGCGCAUAGAGUAACUGUUAUGCGUGUGACGGUAUCUAACCAGAAACCCACGGCUAACUACGUGCCAGCAGCCGCGGUAAUAUGUAGGUGGCAAGCGUUGUCCGGAUUUAUUGGGCGUAAAGCGAGCGCAGGCGGUCAAUUAAGUCUGAUGUGAAAGCCCCCGGCUCAACCUGGGAGGGUCAUUGGAAACUGGGUGACUUGAGUGCAGAAGAGGAGAGUGGAAUUCCAUGUGUAGCGGUGAAAUGCGUAGAUAUAUGGAAGAACACCAGUGGCGAAGGCGACUCCCUGGUCUGGAACUGACGCUGAGGUUCGAAAGCGUGGGUAGCAAACAGG
rnacentral:rRNA from 1 species